AUUUAACAAUUAUUCGCCGAAGGCGAGGUGAUUAUCGGGGAAUAUUCGCCGAGACGAAGUCGAGCUGAAUAUUCCCAGAUAAUCACCAAGCCUGAGGCGAAUAAUUGUUUUAGUAUUUUUACACAAGUCUUUUGUGUUUUUGGGACUGAAUUUAUUUUAAUUUCGCUUAUUUCUUUAUCAGUAACUUCCACAAAACGGCUAGCCGCCAUUUUGAAAAUUUCGGUUUUGUUAUAUUCACCCGUAGGUGAAUAUAAC